UUUUUUUUUUCCUUGUCUUUUUGCUAUUUCUUGGGCCGCUCCUGCGGCAUAUGGAGGUUCCCAGGGUGCAGCCCUAAAAAGACAAAAGACAAAAAUAAAAAAAAAAAAUAAAGUCAGCUUUGGGCCCUUUCUUGGAAGGGAGAGAAAAUCAUUUCAGUUAAGGGAUAUGUGGGAAUGAAAAGUUCUAUAUGCUGUACAUUGGUACAUGUGUUCUCUUUCUGUGUGUGUAAGCAUACACACUUGCAAAGCACUAAGGGAGGCUCAGGAUCUAAGUGUGAACACUUCCCUAAGUACAUUGUUGGCGCAUAUGAAAAAGGAACAUUUUGACCAGAAUUGCUUUCCACAUACCUGCCAGCCAAGUGAUCCUGGAAGGAAAAUAUAUUGCUGGAGUAGCUUCAGAAUCUCCCAGUUGGGCUAAGCUGAGCACACUCUAUCCUGUCCUAGCUAAGAGGUGCUACGGAGGAAUUAAUCAGUUGGUCAGCUGGAUUAUUUUAAAAAAUGGUAAAGAUGGGAUUCAGGUGUUUGAGUACAAGGUUAUACCCACUUCCAAUUGGAUUAGAUGCACAGAAAAGCUCUAAUUAAAUCACAGACAAGGCAGCAAAGGAACAUCAAGAGUUAGCCUUAAUGGAAUACUCCAAGGAUUUCCUCAAGGUCUAUAUAUUUGAUAAUACAUCUUCAUUUUCCUAAUUGUGCUUUUUAUAUUCUUCAGAUACCUUAUGAAAGUGGAAGUGGGGGUUGACAUUUUUUAACAAAGACCUGUAUAUCCAUGAAAAUGGAAAUACUUAAUUUGAGUUUUUAGGUACACAGGUCUUGAGUAAUCUUAACAUUAACAGAAUUUUGGAAUCCUCAGGCAGAGAUAAUAUUGAGCUUCUGAGCAUGCCAGGACUAACAGAUUGAUUCUCAUUAGGCCAGCACACUGUUGCUUAUAUUAUGCUGGGUGGUCAGCCUAGUUGCAGGGAAGGGGAGCAAGCAUACUGUAAAUGAGUUUUUGCAAAGGCAUUCAGAGCAUGGAAGCCAGUUUAGUUAACACAAUAAAAUAAUUAGCUAUAAAACUCUGUAAAUGGGAUUUCAGACGGAGGACAGUAGGACAGAGAGGGUCAGAAGUUAGAGAGCAAUGGGAUCUAAGCAUUGGCUAUGAGAAGACUUCAGAGCCCUCCAGGUGAGUCAUAUCCUGAUUUAAAUGUUAAAAUGCUAUUAUGUGCAAUGCAAAGCUCUUUAUUAAUUAUGCUUACGUGCAGAUUAAAAGAACUGUUCAUAGACCUCAGCAUCAGAACUUGAAAGAAAACAUUAAAGAUAAAGAUAUAUAGUGCGCUUAUAUAAUAUAUUAGUAUUAUAUACACAUAUAAGAUUAUAAACUUGGGAAUUUUCACAUCUACACACUUUUGAACCAGAGGAAACGGAGCACAUUUUGUCAAAUUUAAGAGCCUCUUUAAUCAUGCUGGGUGCUUGGCAUGAAGCCACACUGAACUUUGGAAAUUAUAAAAUUUGUUUACCCUGAGUAAAAUACAAUUUCCUGUUUAGGGGCCUGGGAGGAAGAAAGCCUUUUAAAAGAGGGUUGUUGAAAUCUCCUAAAGUGUCCUUGGACAGUGAGAAAACAAUAGUUGGCUGCAUUAAGUGCAAAUGUAAUAGAAACAUAGGGAUUAUAUUUCACUUAAAGUACACAUGAAUGUAAAAGUUCAGGAAGGGAGAGAUUUGGUUUUGCUGAAAUAAAAUAGUUGAAAAAUGGUUGGUGACAUUUGACAAACUCAAGAUGUGACCAUAUUGUCAACCUCUCCUGGAAAUGAACUCUUACCUGCAUAAAACAAGGGGCCCUGUGCUUUAAAUCAUUUCACAGUACUGGACCAUCGUAACUUAUGGAAACCGUGGAAAGUUUUAGGGUGACACAAAUUCACCAGUAAGACUCUCCAGAUACAAAGGGAGGGACCUCAGUAGUAACUGAUUCUUUGACGUUUUAUCAGUUCCACAGGGAAGAUAUUUUAACAGAGGUACAAAGACUGACCUUUGACUGGUGGAAGUCAGGGGUGGUGAAAAAGAGGUUAGCCAUCCUUUCAGGCUGGAUUCCUACCAUAAGGCGGGAAGCCAUGGGCUUAGGGUCUAACAGGAAGUGGGUGGGAAUUUCCAGGAAAGGAUGAAGUGGGAGGAAGGAAGUGGAAGAGGAGGAUGGGGGAGAAAAGAACAAGGGAGCCAAAGGUGACCAGACAAAUAAAUGAAAGAUAUGCAAGUGAGAGGAAGGGGUCAGAGCCAUCUCAUCCUGAUUUAGAAGAUAUCCAGAAACAAAAGCUGGUGAAAACGCUUCUAAACCCCCAAACAAUUAACUUGGCAAGGAGACAAGGCCACUCCUCUAAGAAAAAAACAUUAAAAAUAAAGUAGGUAAUAAACCCACCUUCCUAAACACAUGGUGAGGAGCUAAUCCAAUAGAGCCUCUUUCUCCCAAUCAUACUUAUUUAGCCUUACACACAGGUUUUGUUCUCUCUCCAAAAAAGAUGGCAUCUGUUCAACAGGUGACAGCUGCUUACUGUGAUACACAAAUUCUUAAAAUCACACUAUUUGCCCAUUUUUCCAUCAUCAUCCAUUUUGUCACCAAAGAUCAUGAGGAAAAAGGCCUCCUAAAUUACUAUUCUAUUUUGGGAGGAAUCAGAGAGGACUCUGAGCAAGAAGCCAAAAUCUGUUUUCUAUUGUGAAGAUACUCAUUGAUUUAAAAACCCUGAAGGUAAGUGGGAAGUAGAAAAAGGAGGUCAUAUGAAAGCAAAAAAAAAAAGUAAACAAAAGAAAAAAAACCCCAACAAAAUGAAAACAUCCUACUUUUUCUUUCAAAACCCAGUCUCAGCCAGUGGUCAGCGAGUUUGAGCAGCACAGGUCAGGAGCCAUUUCCAUCUGCUCUGAAACCCAGGAUGGAAAAGCCAACUAAUUCAGUAGAUAAUGAGGCUUUCAAUAGUUGGUACCAAGCUACACUUCCUAAAUUGUAAGCCAGGUGCUCAAUUAGCUCUUCUUUAAAAAAAAAAAAAAAAAUCUUUUUUAAAAAACUUCAUCAUGGUAAGAACACUUAGCAUGAGAUCUAUCCUCUUAAUAAAUUUUUAAGUGCACCAUAUAAUAUUGUUGACUCUAGGUUGAAUGGUGUACAGCAGAUCCCUAGAACAUAUCCAUCUUGCUUAAGUGAAACUUUAUGCCUGUCGAUUAGUAACUCCACUGCUG
rnacentral:lncRNA from 1 species